rnacentral:rRNA from 1 species
UACGGGGGGGGCAAGCGUUGUUCGGAAUUACUGGGCGUAAAGGGCUCGUAGGUGGCCAACUAAGUCGGACGUGAAAUCCCUCGGCUUAACCGGGGAACUGCGUCCGAUACUGGUUGGCUUGAGUUUGGGAGAGGGAUGCGGAAUUGACAGUGUAGCGGUGAAAUGCAUAGAUAUUGUCAAGAACACCAAUUGCGAAGGCAGCUUACUAA